CAGAAGUGGACAAGUACAAAGAGCUGUAUCUGGUGGAAGCCAAAACCAGAAAAAGCCUCGCCAAGAAACUGGAAAGAGCUACUGAGAGACUUGCAGUGGCCAACACCAAGCUCUUUUUGGAGCGCCACAGAAGCAGAUCUGUGGUCCCAAGCAGCGCUGUCAGCGGAGUUCUGGCUGCAAGUCCACUUCUGGAUUCACCUGGCCUGGGACAUGUUGGCAUCAGUUUGGGACUGAGCAGAAGUCUGGCUCUCAGAACACCACCCAGACACCUGUGGUAAAGCCCAAGACUUCUGCUCAUCAGGACAUCCUGUAAGGGACCGUUCAGAUGGAUGGAACAAAUUGCUUCCUUUCCUUAAUUUCGACAUCCACGGCCUAGUAGCCAGUUUCCUUAAUGGUGGCCUUCAAGGUUUGGUAGCAAAGACUCCAAGAUCAGCUCUAACCCAUCCCUACAUUGUUCAACGACAAUGAUCCUAGUGGUGAAGGCAGCGAAAAUGCUACUUAAAAUUGGAGAGGUGGUGCUGCAUUGGUCCCCUUGUUGUACGAAAGGAAUCGCUGGAGCUUUGGGGACAAGAAGUGCCAACGGCCACGACAACUGUACACAGGCAACAGUAUCAGAGGAACCGAGAUGCUGUGACCCCCAUCCAUCCAUCCAGUACAUCCAUGACAUCAUUGUGUGGGGGACACAGCAGAAGAAGUUUUCGAGAAAGGACAGAAGAUCAUCCAGAUUCUCCUCGAGGCCUGUUUUGCCAUCAAGAAGAGUAAGGUCAAGGGACCUGCCCAAGAGAUCCAGUUCCUAGGGGUGAAAUGGCAAAUGGACGACACCAGAUACCAACAGACGUCCUCAACAAGAUUGUAGCAAUGGCUCCACCCACAAACAAGAAAGAAACCCAAGCUUUUCUGGGAGCCAUUGGCUUCUGGAGGAUGCACAUCCCAGAGUACAGCCAGAUGGUGAGCCCUCUUUACUUUGUGACCUGUGAAAAGAACAAUUUCCAGUGGGGUCCUGAACAACAACAAGCUUUCAGGCAGAUCAAGCAAGAGAUUGCACAUGCCGUGGCUGUUGGAGCAGUCAGGA